ensembl:snRNA U6 U6 spliceosomal RNA
UCGCUUUGGGAGCAACUAUACUAAAGUGGGAAUGAUACAGAGAUUAGCAUGGCCCCUGCGCAAAUCAUGAAGUGUUCUACAUAUAU